GCUUCUGGGAUAGCUCAGUUGGUAGAGCAUGAGACUCUCAAUCUCAGGGUUGUGGGUUUGAGCCCCACGUUGGGCA
rnacentral:tRNA from 1 species